GAUUAACGCUGGCGGCGUGCAUAACACAUGCAAGUCGAACGAUGAAACUUAAAUGAUUUCUUCGGAAUGAACUUAAGUGGAUUAGUGGCGGACGGGUGAGUAACGCGUGAGUAACCUGCCUCACACAAGGGGAUAGCCGUUGGAAACGACGAAUAAUACCCUAUGAAACUAUCACUUCGCAUGAAGCGAUAGUCAAAGUGUAGCGGUGUAAGAUGGACUUGCGUCUGAUUAGCUAGUUGGUGAGAAAAAAGCCCACCAAGGCAACGAUCAGUAGCCGGCUUGAGAGAGUGUACGGCCACAUUGGGACUGAGACACGGCCCAGACUCCUACGGGAGGCAGCAGUGGGGAAUUUUGCACAAUGGGGGAAACCCUGAUGCAGCGACGCCGCGUGAUUUAGAAGGCCUUCGGGUUGUAAAAAUCUUUUGUAUAGGAAGAAAAUGACAGUACUAUACGAAUAAGGUCCGGCUAAUUACGUG
rnacentral:rRNA from 1 species